AAGUUCGUGACGCAGGAAUUCAAGCAUAAUUAUAUUUCAGUGAAAAUACGGAAUUCGAUUGGCCUGUUUCCAACGUUUAACACACGAAGGAGAAGAAACGAAGGUUUUAAUAGCUCUUGUCUAUCUACUGGUGAAUUAAUCCUGACGUUGAUCAACGUUCCGCGUUCCUAUGAGAUGACAACGGCAUUAUGACGCGGAAAUAUUUCGGAGCGGGUCAAACUUGAUGCCGGUCGCUCCUUGUCUUCCAUCUUCCAUCGAGAUCGCAACGAAGUCAACGCGUCUGUUACGUUCUCCAGUUACCAUCGCCGUUUCUACUGAUUAACGUUAUUUUUGGCGAUUCGCCAAACACGCGAAUUCUACGGACACCAAGGCGUGCCGAAUCGUCGCUUCGAGAACUUCUAUUCCUUCCUUCCCUGAGAAAAAUUCUCUGAGAGCGAUCGGUCCUUUGCGUUUGCGACCGAAAUAACGAUCAACAGGGAGAGGUGAUUGUACUGGAACAUUCAAGUUUCUGGGAAAAGUAAUGGAAGUCCAUAGAAAAACGUAAUUGCACUGGAACGUUAUGAAUAUUUUAUCUACGGUUGGAGGAUAGAAAAGAAGUUUUGAAAUAGAAAUUAAACGUCUUGCAGUUCUUUUGCUUUGAAACGAUUGCUUGUGCUCGGAAGAAAGAUAAUGAUUCAGAGCUAAUUAUAUUGAAACAUCGUGAAUGCUCCGUUUACGAAUGAAAUAUCGAAAAAAAGUUUCGGAACGAAAUUCAGGUUUUAAAAAAUUCUUUAUUUUACAGUGCAAAAGUUUCAUCGAGUUAUAUCUACAGACGAAAGAUGGAAAGAAAAUUUUCAAAUUGGAAAUUAAGAAUAUUGGAAGAUUAUCUAGCUCGUUUUAAAAUCAUUGCUUUUGCUUGUAGUUCUUCGACUACGUACAUGCUUCUACUGUAAAUUUCGUGUAUAUAUAACUGCAGUUUGACUUCUUGUAUAACUGUAAGAGUAGCGUUUUUGUUUGUACAACCAUUAGAUGUUGAAGCCAGUCCAAUAAAGCUUAUGUUGCGCAAAGAAUUCCACGAACAAAGAUACUUUAUUCUGUUAUCUAUUCAAUGAAAGAAUUUUAGUAUUCAAAUCCCUUCCAAAAUCUCCACUGAGCAAAUUAAAAAAAUAUUAAUUCCAUGUAUCACGAAGGUACAGUGAAAUUCCAACUGGAAGAUGCCUAAUAUUCAACAGCUUCUUCGAAUUCCCACUUAUUCGAAAUUCUCAAUGGAGAAAUUAAAUCUCAAGAAUUUCAAUAUCCAGUUCCUUCAAAAAUGUCCAAUGACCAAAUUAAAAGAUACCGUUAAGUUGGCAUAUGACGAACAAAUAAUCUACUGUAUAUCCAAAUUUAAUCUACUCGACAAACAUACUAUUCAACAAGUUGUUACAAUUGACAUCAUUCGAACUGCACAAUGGAAGAAUAAAAUCUUAAGAACAUUGUCAUUCAAAUUUCCCUGCAAAUAUUCGACAACCACGUUAAAACACACAUCAACUCCGUAUACACAAAGAAACUGUAACAUCUAUAUUUAAUCGGAAUCUACUUAGACAUACAAUAUACCAACUACUUGAAAAUAUUGAGCCCCGAAUUUCUUCCAAAAUGUUCAACAACCAAAUAAAAAAAAAAAAAAAAAAGAAAGAAAUAUAUAUCAAAUUUAUAUUACGAAGAAAGUAUCUACA